rnacentral:lncRNA from 1 species
UUGGCUUAAGGUGGUACCUAACACUACAGGGAGAUAACUCUGUAAAGUCAACUUAACGUUUUAAUUACGUUGUGUUGUAAAAGGAAUAGAAUCAUAUUCAAAACAGUGUAGCUGUGGCCAUUGAUUGACAACCUUAAAUUUUCCCAUUGACUGGGGCAGAUUAGGUGAACGUGUGUCUGUAACGACAACUGCUCACUACUUAUUUAUUAUAGAAUUUAAACUGUAGGGUCACCAAAGGUUCUUAACGCCUUUAAUAUUAAAAUAGUUCGAAAAAUUAA